rnacentral:rRNA from 1 species
ACGGGUGAGUAACACGUAGGAAUCUAUCCCAGGGUGGGGGACAACAGCGGGAAACUGCUGCUAAUACCGCAUGAUACCUGAGGGUCAAAGGCGUAAGUCGCCUUGGGAGGAGCCUGCGUCUGAUUAGCUUGUUGGUGAGGUAAAGGCUCACCAAGGCUACGAUCAGUAGCUGGUCUGAGAGGAUGAUCAGCCACAUUGGGACUGAGACACGGCCCAAACUCCUACGGGAGGCAGCAGUGGGGAAUAUUGGACAAUGGGCGAAAGCCUGAUCCAGCAAUGCCGCGUGUGUGAAGAAGGUCUUCGGAUUGUAAAGCACUUUUGGCAGGGACGAUGAUGACGGUACCUGCAGAAUAAGCCCCGGCUAACUUCGUGCCAGCAGCCGCGGUAAUACGAAGGGGGCUAGCGUUGCUCGGAAUGACUGGGCGUAAAGGGCGCGUAGGCGGCAUGUACAGUCAGAAGUGAAAUUCCUGGGCUCAACCUGGGGACUGCUUUUGAUACGUGCAGGCUAGAGUGAGGAAGAGGGUUGUGGAAUUUCCAGU